rnacentral:rRNA from 1 species
UGGGGAAUUUUGGGCAAUGGGCGCAAGCCUGAUCCAGCAAUGCCGCGUGCAGGAUGAACGCCUUCGGGUUGUAAACUGCUUUUGUACGGCGCGAAAAUGUCUGCCCUAAUACGGUGGGCACAUGACGGUACCGUAAGUAUAAGCACCGGCUAACUACGUGCCAGCAGCCGCGGGAAUACGUAGGGUGCGAGCGUUAAUCGGAAUUACUGGGCGUAAAGCGUGCGCAGGCGGUUAUAUAAGACAGAGGUGAAAUCCCCGGGCUCAACCUGGGACCUGCAUUUGUGACUGUAUAGCUAGAGUACGGUAGAGGGGGAUGGAAUUCCGCGUGUAGCAGUGAAAUGCGUAGAUAUGCGGAGGAACACCGAUGGCGAAGGCAAUCCCCUGGACCUGUACUGACGCUCAUGCACGAAAGCGUGGGGAGCAAACA